UUAUCGGUGUGUUGUGCACCACAUCUAUAAACAGGAGGCUAUGGACAUUUAGGAAAUUGUUUCUUUUAUUUAUGUCUUAGAUCGUGCGAUAGAGCCUAUAUUGUAUAUGAAGUCAUAGUUGACCACUGAAUCAGUUUGUUUCUCUUAUUAUAGUAAUGAUGCCGGUUACUAGAAGCAAGAAUACUGGUAAGCAAGUAGAUAUGGCUG
rnacentral:lncRNA from 1 species